rnacentral:rRNA from 1 species
GAUGAACGCUAGCUACAGGCUUAACACAUGCAAGUCGAGGGGUAGCAGGGUAGCAAUACCGCUGACGACCGGCGCACGGGUGAGUAACACGUAUCCAACCUUCCCAUAACUCGGGGAUAGCCUUUCGAAAGAAAGAUUAAUACCCGAUAGUACUUUCAUACGGCAUCUUAAGAACGUUAAAGAUCUAUUGGUUAUGGAUGGGGAUGCGUUCCAUUAGAUAGUUGGUGAGGUCACGGCUCACCAAGUCUUCGAUGGAUAGGGGUUCUGAGAGGAAGGUCCACCACGUUGGUGCUGAGACACGGACCAAACUCCUACGGGAGGCAGCAGUGAGGAAUAUUGGUCAAUGGGCGAGAGCCUGAACCAGCCAAGUAGCGUGAAGGAUGAAGGUCCUAUGGAUUGUAAACUUCUUUUAUAGUAGAAUAAAGUGAACCACGUGUGGUUUUUUGUAUGUAUACUAUGAAUAAGGAUCGGCUAACUCCGUGCCAGCCGCCGCUGUAA